ACAUUAGUGAUUCAGUGGUAGAAUUCUCACCUUCCAUGUGGGAGACUUGGGUUCUAUUCCCAGCCAACGAG
rnacentral:tRNA from 1 species